rnacentral:rRNA from 1 species
UACGGAGGGGGCUAGCGUUGUUCGGAAUUACUGGGCGUAAAGCGCGCGUAGGCGGACCUGCAAGUCGGGGGUGAAAGCCCGAGGCUCAACCUCGGAACUGCCUUCGAUACUGCGGGUCUCGAGUCCGGGAGAGGUGAGUGGAAUUCCUGGUGUAGCGGUGAAAUGCGCAGAUAUCAGGAGGAACACCGGUGGCGAAGGCGGAUCUCUGGGCCUUACCUGACGCUGAGGCGCGAAAGCUAGGGGAGCAAACAGG